GAUGAACGCUGGCGGCGUGCCUAAUACAUGCAAGUCGAGCGAACAGACGAGGAGCUUGCUCCUCUGACGUUAGCGGCGGACGGGUGAGUAACACGUGGAUAACCUACCUAUAAGACUGGGAUAACUUCGGGAAACCGGAGCUAAUACCGGAUAAUAUAUUGAACCGCAUGGUUCAAUAGUGAAAGACGGUUUUGCUGUCACUUAUAGAUGGAUCCGCGCCGCAUUAGCUAGUUGGUAAGGUAACGGCUUACCAAGGCGACGAUGCGUAGCCGACCUGAGAGUGGAGUCGGCCACCCGGGAAGUGAGACUGGGUCCAGACGCCUACGGGAGGCAGCAGUAGGGAAUCUUCCGCAAUGGUCGAAAGGGUGACGGAGCAACGCGGCGUGAGGGAUGAAGGUCUUCGGAUCGUAAAACUCUGUUAUUAGGGAAGAACAAAUGUGUAAGUGACUAUGCACGUCUUGACGGUACCUAAUCAGAAAGCCACGGCUAACUACGUG
rnacentral:rRNA from 1 species